GAAAUGCGAUAAGUAGUGUGAAUUGCAGAAUUCAGUGAAUCAUCGAAUCUUUGAACGCACAUUGCGCCCCUUGGUAUUCCAUGGGGCAUGCCUGUUCGAGCGUCAUCUACACCCUCAAGCUCUGCUUGGUGUUGGGCGUCUGUCCCGCUCCCGCGCGUGGACUCGCCCCAAAUCCAUUGGCAGCGUUCCUUGCCCCCUCUCGCGCAGCACAUUGCGCUUCUCGAGGGCGGCUCCGGGACGCGAUCCAGCAAGAUGACCACCGUCUUUGACCUCGGAUCAGGUAGGGAUACCCGCUGAACUUAAGC
rnacentral:misc_RNA from 1 species